rnacentral:rRNA from 1 species
GACGAACGCUGGCGGCGUGCCUAACACAUGCAAGUCGAACGGUGAACGAGGGCGCUUGCUCCCUCCGGAUCAGUGGCGAACGGGUGAGUCACACGUGAGCAAUCUGCCCCGAACUCUGGGAUAAGCGUUGGAAACGUAGUCUAAUAUCGGAUACGACGCGGGAGGGCAUCGUUUCUGCGUGGUAAGAACGUCGGAUCGGGAUGAGCUGGCGGCCCAUCAGCUUGUUGGUGAGGUAACGGCUCACCACGGCGCCGACGGGUAGCCGGCCUGGGAGGGUGACCAGGCACACUGGGACUAAGACACGGCCCAGACGCCUACAUGAGACAGCAGUGGGGAAUAUUGCACAGUGAGCGCGAGUCUGAUGCAGCAGCGCCGCGUGAGUGACGACGGCCUUCGGGUGGUAAACCUCUUUUAGCAGAGAAGAAGCGAAUGUGACGGUACCAGCAGAAAAAGCACCGGCUAACUACGUG